rnacentral:rRNA from 1 species
GACGAACCGUCCAAACGUUAUUCGGUAUCACUGGGCUUAAAGAGUUCGUAGGCGGCCCGACAGGUGAGGUGUGAAAUCCCUCGGCUCAACCGAGGAAUUGCGCUUCAAACCGUCAGGCUUGAGGGAGAUAGAGGUGAGCGGAACAGAUGGUGGAGCGGUGAAAUGCGUUGAUAUCAUCUGGAACACCGGUGGCGAAAGCGGCUCACUGGAUCUUUUCUGACGCUGAGGAACGAAAGCUAGGGUAGCGAAC